rnacentral:lncRNA from 2 species
GUUACUCUUCGCGCCCCACGCCUCGACGCGUACAGUGGUAGAAACCUCAUUACUCCCUCGGCCUCCACAGCACGCCACACACUAGCUUUCAGGCUCUGUCAAUUUGCUUAUAGGCUUUAUUUGCUAUCUUUUCGUAUCCGUAAGUUAGACCGUACAACAAGUUCUAUCGACAUCCAAGGAGCUGACAUGGACCCAGAUAGCUACGCUGAAGCCGCGGAAAAUCAUAUGGCGCAAGGCAAGACAUAA